rnacentral:lncRNA from 1 species
AUUUCCCUCCACCUUUUAAUGUUUUUGAUAUGGAUCGUAAGUAAUCUAUUCUUUUUUAUGUAGUUUCAAUUGCUAUUAAGAAAACUAUCAACCAGAAUUUAAAUGAUAUGGAGGUAAACAACUGUAUGUCACCAUACAAUCUUCAACAAUGAAAAAACAUUUACAACUAGUCAGCUAUAUAUGGCACUGACACGACAACACGUGAAGCAAUCCAGACGAAACAAAAUUGGAUGUAUUAAUUAUAAAACGACAAUCACUGAAUUACAGGUUGCUGUCUUGGAAAGGUCACAUAGAGAAUAUUGCGGAAUCAAACAUGAGUGAGCUCUAACUACACAAGAACAAUCUGCAAUGAAUCAGUUGGAAAUGUCCUAUAUUGAAAUAUUGGUAUAAAUCAAUAGAACCAACCAACUUACUCAAAAUUAAAAGACAUAACGUACAGAUCUAAGCCUACUCGUAGCUACUUACAGCUAUUUCAUAUCCAAUAACUAGUAAUACAUAAAUCGUAUUUUCCUAGAAUAAGGUAUCAAUCAGAACACACC